UCCAUCUCCUGCCAUGCCCCUCACGCGUACCGCCGUGCGCCGCCGCCGCCACCGCCCACCACGCAGGCGCGUCUACCCUUACCCGACCGGCUACACGCGGACGACGCUCGAGCGCACCUUCUAUAUCGGGUCAACGCGGUGGCUUGAGCGGUGGGGGCGGCAUGGCUGCUCGAUGCAGAUUGCAGAACGGCGGCGGCGGCUGGAGCUUGCAGGGGCCGGAUCCGUGCGUGGCAGUGGCUGGGGAGGCUGAUUCGAAGGCGGGCGGCGAGGCAGGGGUCGCCGGUGACGAAGAGGAAGGCUGGAGAGGCGGGGCUUCAGUUUUCCCUGGUACGAAAGAGAAACAGAAGAGGAUUCGGGGAGGAGAGGUAGGGAGAAGAAGAAUGGGGGAAGAAGGAUAGCUGGCCUCCUGGGCACAUGCCAUACGAUCUAAAGGUCUGACCAUGGUGCUUUUCUCCCAUCUUCUAAUUUAAUCAGAAAUAAGCAAUCAGCAAAGCGGGAGCUGUAGGAUCAGAGUCCACCCUUCUCUGCAGCUCAAUCAUGGGGUUGUUGGUGGCUUCACGCUCGCCUUACAACCUUCAUGACACUUGCCACACGAUCUGCAGGACUACCCCAUGGUGCUGGUACGGGAGUUCUAGCAUCAAACAAGGUACCACCACCAUGGUUUUCCGUGAGCUUAAUCACUUAUGUCUGCAUGCGGAAAAUAUAGCCUGGUAUACAUAUGUAGUAGAUGGGUACAUAAUUAACUGAGAUAGAAGUAUGAGGUGCUGCAGUUGCAACAGAUCUUCAUCAAGUUCCUUCAAAAAUUGCACGAAGCGUCCAAUGUUGCCACCAAGUUCGCCGGAGGAAGAAGCACCGAAUUCGCUGGAGGAACAAGAACAUCGGUCGAGCCGCCCAACGUCGCCUGCAGCGGCUACACCAGAGUGUGUACGCAUGCUCAACAGGUACUGUCGCAACAACUCAAUUUCUUCAGAUGUGGCAUAGGAAGUCAUGUCCUCAUGUGCUACUAUUUCUAGAGCAUGCCGAAGCUGGCGAUGUGUCAUGUCCGGCGCGACAGCCUCCCCGAUCCGCCUCGGCACCCACAUCAAGUCCUCUCGGUCUACCUCCUCUGUCAUGUAGCAUGGCUUUGAGCGGCUAGGUGUCGGCCAGGUGUCCCAGAUUGACAGCGACGGCGGCAUGAGGGUGUGAUAAAAUAAUAAUUAGCAGUAACAUGCACUAAUAUGAGGUUUAGCAUCAGGGGUAACUUUAUGCAAUCACACUUAGUAAGUAGCAUUUUCUGUUGCUCUAUGAUUUUUAUGUGGGUAAUGGUGAUGUUGAAGUACAUGUCACACUGAAAAAGAACAUGCCUGAGAUAAGGCCAUGGAACCUUCAUGUGGUGCAUACUAGGGACAAGAAAUGCUAUGCUGUAAAAGGUUUUUGAGCAGAGGUACUAGCAGUUGGAUGCUCCAUGCCACCACUUUGGUUAAUUGCUUGCAGUUGGAGGGAAUACUGUUAGGUCGAGAGAGAAUUAUAGCAAAAGAUGAAGAUGUGGGCUCUUCGGUUAGGUGAGCAAUAACUAUGCAAGGAAUAUUACCGAUUUUUCAUAUUUCGAAGCACAUAUAUUUAUUUAA